UCCGCAAUAGUUUAAUGGCUAGAAUCUCCGCCUGUCACGCGGGAGAUCUGGGUUCGAUUCCCAGUUGCGGAG
rfam:Sugiyamaella lignohabitans strain CBS 10342 chromosome A, complete sequence.